AUCUCGGGCUUGGUUAGUACUUGGAUGGGUGACCGCUUGGGAAUACCAAGUGUGAUAAGCA
rfam:Ciona savignyi cont_47003, whole genome shotgun sequence.